AUACUUACCUUGUUCCAGUAACCCGCGAUCAUGAAAUCGGGCUACUAGUGUGGGAGGCCUGCAUUGCACAUUCGCGGAGUCGUCCUAUGCUCGAUUGUCCUUCGGGGCCAUCGGGGGCGGAAUUUUUGAUAC
rnacentral:snRNA from 13 species